rnacentral:rRNA from 2 species
UUAACCGUAUAGGGGAGCCGUAGGGAAACCGAGUCUUAACCGGGCGUUAAGUUGCAGGGUAUAGACCCGAAACCCGGUGAUCUAGCCAUGGGCAGGUUGAAGGUUGGGUAACACUAACUGGAGGACCGAACCGACUAAUGUUGAAAAAUUAGCGGAUGACCUGUGGCUGGGGGUGAAAGGCCAAUCAAACCGGGAGAUAGCUGGUUCUCCCCGAAAGCUAUUUAGGUAGCGCCUCGUGAACUCAUCUCCGGGGGUAGAGCA